GAUGAACGCUAGCUACAGGCUUAACACAUGCAAGUCGAGGGGUCUUUUGGAGCUUGCUUUAAAAGACGACCGGCGCACGGGUGAGUAACGCGUAUCCAACCUGCCCUUCAUAUUGGGAUAGCCUUCCGAAAGGAAGAUUAAUACCGAAUAACAUAGAGUGGUUGCCUGAUUUCUCUAUGAAAGCUCCGGCGAUGAAGGAUGGGGAUGCGUUCCAUCAGGUAGUAGGCGGGGUAACGGCCCACCUAGCCGACGAUGGAUAGGGGUUCUGAGAGGAAGGUCCCCCACACUGGAACUGAGACACGGUCCAGACUCCUACGGGAGGCAGCAGUGAGGAAUAUUGGUCAAUGGGCGCAAGCCUGAACCAGCCAAGUAGCGUGAAGGAUGACUGCCCUAUGGGUUGUAAACUUCUUUUAUACGGGAACAAACCUUGGUACGUGAACCAAAUUGCGUGUACCGUAUGAAUAAGCAUCGGCUAACUCCGUGCCAGCCGCCGCAGUAAGAC
rnacentral:rRNA from 1 species